GCUACAGCUGCCGCAAAGCGCAGGGGCCACCGCAGCUAUGAAGUCGCACACACUGGCUGUCCUCGUACUGGCGGCGCUCGCAGGCUGUGCCACUUCAGAGGAAUGCCCUACCUUCUGCCCACAAAUUUACCAGCCAGUGGCAGCCCUGUGUGGCUCCGAAAUCAGGGAGUUUGGAAAUCGCUGUGAAUUGGAAGCACACAACUGCCUGCACAACAACGAAUGCAAAGGCUGACGUUGCCAGGAGCGAUACGACGCCAGCAGCACUUGGAUGGCUGAUGCAUCAGUCGAAGAAACGCUUGAUGGACAUUUUUUGAGGUUUUGUGAUUUGCUGGUGGAAACAAAAUUAUUGCAGAAAUUAAAUACGGAAAUGUGGGCGUGUUA
rnacentral:lncRNA from 1 species